rnacentral:rRNA from 1 species
AUGCAGUCGACGGUGACCUCGGAGCUUGCUCCGGGCGAUCAGUGGCGAACGGGUGAGUAACACGUGAGUAACCUGCCCCAUACUCUGGGAUAACAUCGGGAAACCGGUGCUAAUACCGGAUAUGAGACGAGACCGCAUGGUCAUUGUCUGGAAAGAUUUAUCGGUCUGGGAUGGACUCGCGGCCUAUCAGCUAGUUGGUGAGGUAAUGGCCCACCAAGGCGACGACGGGUAGCCGGCCUGAGAGGGCGACCGGCCACACUGGAACUGAGACACGGUCCAGACUCCUACGGGAGGCAGCAGUGGGGAAUAUUGCACAAUGGGCGCAAGCCUGAUGCAGCAACGCCGCGUGGGGGAUGAAGGCCUUCGGGUUGUAAACCCCUUUUAGCAGGGAAGAAGCGAAAGUGACGGUACCUGCAGAAAAAGCGCCGGCUAACUACGUGCCAGCAGCCGCGGUAAUACGUAGGGCGCAAGCGUUGUCCGGAAUUAUUGGGCGUAAAGAGCUCGUAGGCGGUUUGUCGCGUCUGCUGUGAAAGUCCGAGGCUCAACCUCGGAUCUGCAGUGGGUACGGGCAGACUAGAGUGUGGUAGGGGAGACUGGAAUUCCUGGUGUAGCGGUGGAAUGCGCAGAUAUCAGGAGGAACACCAAUGGCGAAGGCAGGUCUCUGGGCCACAACUGACGCUGAGGAGCGAAAGCGUGGGUAGCAAACAGGAUUAGAUACCCUGGUAGAAUCACUAGUGAAUUC